rnacentral:rRNA from 1 species
AUUGAACGCUGGCGGCAGGCCUAACACAUGCAAGUCGAACGAGCGGCGGACGGGUGAGUAAUGUCUGGGGAACUGCCCGAUAGAGGGGGAUAACUACUGGAAACGGUAGCUAAUACCGCAUACUCUCAGAUGACCCCAGAUGGGAUUAGCUAGUAGGUGGGGUAAAGGCUCACCUAGGCGACGAUCCCUAGCUGGUCUGAGAGGAUGACCAGCCACACUGGAACUGAGACACGGCCCAGCCUCCUACGGGAGGCAGCAGUGGGGAAUAUUGCACAAUGGGCGCAAGCCUGAUGCAGCCAUGCCGCGUGUAUGAAGAAGGCCUUAGGGUUGUAAAGUACUUUCAGCGGGGAGGCGUUACCCGCAGAAGAAGCACCGGCUAACUCCGUGCCAGCAGCCGCGGUAAUAC